rnacentral:misc_RNA from 1 species
AACACUGUUAACCUGCGGUACCUGCGGAAGGAUCAUUACGAGAGUGUCACCACUCCCAACCCAUUGUUUACCUACCCGUCCACCGUGCUUCGGCAGGCAGCCCUGUGGGACAGAGCCUCGCCCCCCUCCGCGGGGGGUGCCUGCCGCUGGCCAACCAACAACUCUAGCUGUUUUAGUACCAUCUGAGUCUUCCACAAAUGAACAAAACUUUCAGCAACGGAUCUCAGAUCGGAAGAGCAC